GAUGAACGCUGGCGGCAUGCCUAAUACAUGCAAGUCGAGCGAACAGACGAGGAGCUUGCUCCUUCGACGUUAGCGGCGGACGGGUGAGUAACACGUAGGUAACCUACCUAUAAGACUGGGAUAACUUCGGGAAACCGGAGCUAAUACCGGAUAAUAUUUCGAACCGCAUGGUUCGAUAGUGAAAGAUGGCUUUGCUAUCACUUAUAGAUGGACCUGCGCCGUAUUAGCUAGUUGGUAAGGUAACGGCUUACCAAGGCAACGAUACGUAGCCGACCUGAGAGGGUGAUCGGCCACACUGGAACUGAGACACGGUCCAGACUCCUACGGGAGGCAGCAGUAGGGAAUCUUCCGCAAUGGGCGAAAGCCUGACGGAGCAACGCCGCGUGAGUGAUGAAGGUCUUCGGAUCGUAAAACUCUGUUAUUAGGGAAGAACAAACGUGUAAGUAACUGUGCACGUCUUGACGGUACCUAAUCAGAAAGCCACGGCUAACUACGUG
rnacentral:rRNA from 1 species